AGAGUUUGAUUCUGGCUCAGAACGAACGUUAGCGGCGCGCCUAACACAUGCAAGUCGCACGAGAAAGGGCUUCGGCCCCGGUACAGUGGCGCACGGGUGAGUAACACGUAGAUAAUCUUCCCUCGGGUGGUGGAUAACUCUCCGAAAGGAGAGCUAAUACAGCAUGAGACCACGGCUCCCCUGGAGCUGCGGCCAAAGCAGGCCUCUAUACAUAAGCUUGCGCCUGAGGAUGAGUCUGCGGCCCAUCAGCUAGUUGGUAGGGUAAUGGCCUACCAAGGCUAAGACGGGUAGCUGGUCUGAGAGGAUGAACAGCCACACUGGAACUGAGACACGGUCCAGACUCCUACGGGAGGCAGCAGUGGGAAUCUUGCGCAAUGGGCGAAAGCCUGACGCAGCGACGCCGCGUGAGCGAUGAAGGCCUUCGGGUUGUAAAGCUCUGUGGGGAGGAAAGAAUAAGGGUUGGCUAAUAUCCAACUUGAUGACGGUACCUCCUUAGCAAGCACCGGCUAACUCUGUGCCAGCAGCCGCGGUAAGACAGAGGGUGCAAACGUUGUUCGGAAUUACUGGGCGUAAAGCGCGUGUAGGCGGCUCUGUAAGUCGGAUGUGAAAUCCCACGGCUCAACCAUGGAAGUGCAUUCGAAACUACAGGGCUAGAGUUCUGGAGAGGAAGGUGGAAUGCUUGGUGUAGAGGUGAAAUUCGUAGAUAUCAAGCGGAACACCGGUGGCGAAGGCGGCCUUCUGGACAGUAACUGACGCUGAGACGCGAAAGCGUGGGGAGCAAACAGGAUUAGAUACCCUGGUAGUCCACGCCGUAAACGAUGAGUGCUAGGUGUCACGGGCUUUGACCCUCGUGGUGCCGAAGCUAACGCGUUAAGCACUCCGCCUGGGGAGUACGGUCGCAAGACUAAAACUCAAAGAAAUUGACAGGGGGGCGCACAAGCGGUGGAUGAUGUGGUUUAAUUCGAUGCAACGCGAAAAACCUUACCCACCUUUGACAUGUACGGAAUUUGCCAGAGAUGGCUUAGUGCUCGAAAGGGAGCCGUAACACAGGUGCUGCAUGGCUGUCGUCAGCUCGUGUCGUGAGAUGUUGGGUUAAGUCCCGCAACGAGCGCAACCCUUGUCAUUAGUUGCUACGAAAGGGCACUCUAAUGUGACUGCCGGUGACAAACCGGAGGAAGGUGGGGAUGACGUCAAGUCCUCAUGGCCCUUAUAGGUGGGGCUACACACGUCAUACAAUGGCUGGUACAGAGGGUUGCCAACCCGCGAGGGGGAGCUAAUCCCAUAAAACCAGUCGUAGUCCGGAUCGCAGUCUGCAACUCGACUGCGUGAAGUCGGAAUCGCCAGUAAUCGCGGAUCAGAAUGUCGCGGUGAAUACGUUCCCGGGUCUUGUACACACCGCCCGUCACACCAUGGGAGCGGGUUCUGCCAGAAGUAGUUAGCCUAACCGCAAGGAGGGCGAUUACCACGGCAGGGUUCGUGACUGGGGUGAAGUCGUAACAAGGUA
rnacentral:rRNA from 1 species